rnacentral:tRNA from 1 species
ACUUGUAUUUGUUCAGCCGGUAGAACAUGGGACUUUUAAUCCAAUGGUUCCGGGUUCAAGUCCCAGUCUAGGCG